rnacentral:tRNA from 1 species
GCCUUCGUGGUGUAGUGGUCAGCACACUCAGCGCGUAUUCGAGAGAUCUGCGGUUCGAGUCCCGGCUAGGGCA